AGCCUGCCCAGUGACCCAGUUCAACGGCCGCGGUAUCCUAACCGUGCAAAGGUAGCGUAAUCACUUGUCUUCUAAAUAAAGACUAGUAUGAACGGCACCACGAGAACUAAACUGUCUCCCCUUUCCAAUCAGUGAACCUAAUCCCCCCGUGAAGAAGCGGGGAUUUUUUAAUAAGACGAGAAGACCCUAUGGAGCUUUAAACACUAUAACACCUGCCAACCCCACACUCAAGUGUAUCCCCGCAGGAUGAUUAUUUGUUUUCGGUUGGGGUGACCGCGGAGAAAAAACUAUCCUCCACGAUGAAAGGAAACCCCCUAAACAAUAAGCCACAGCUUUAUGUAUUAGCAAACUAACACCAUUGACCCAAUAUAUUGAUUAACGAACCAAGUUACCCUAGGGAUAACAGCGCAAUCCACUUCGAGAGCCCCUAUCGACAAGUGGGCUUACGACCUCGAUGUUGGAUCAGGGUAUCCCAGUGGUGCAGCCGCUACUAAAGGU
rnacentral:rRNA from 1 species